AUGAUUGUGUAAUGCCAUGCGUGUAAACUUUCGACGUGACGGCGGUUCAGAGAAAUGAAGCCGUUUCUGUAUUUCUUCGGAAGCUUGUGGCGGACAUCCGUCAGAAGAGGGCGAGAUUUCACUAAAACGGUCGUCAGACAGCAGCGUAUGACCGACCUCUGCACCAGAGCACCCACGGACCCACUGCACCACAGAGACUGGAAGAAAGAGCACUUUGAAUCACCGGAGCACAGAGCCUUCACCUCUUCACCACUCUUUUGUAUUGUCACUAAAAUAAAUCCACGCUCCGGGGUCUUUAUUUUGA